AUGUCCAAGUCUCUGGAGAAGUUGGUGGAGGAGAGCCGGUAGAAGAACCAGCCCGAAGUGGACAUGAGUGACCGGGGCAUCUCCAAUAUGCUGCAUGUCAAUGGCCUGUAUACUCUGAGUUCCAUUCCCAGAUUCACACUCAGCAUUUAUGUUUCCAUGGUGGUGCCACCAAACACAGCAGAACUGAAGAAUUUGGAAGUGCUCAACUUUUUAAAUAACCAGAUUGAGGAGCUGCCAACACAGAUCAACAGGCUUCAAAAACUCAAACACCUGAACCUUGGCAUGAACAGGCUGAACACUUUGUCAUGAGGCUUCUGCUCCCUGCCAGCUCUUGAGGUUCUGGACUUGACUUACAACUUGAACGAAAAUUCUCUUCCUGGAAACUUCUUUUUUUUUUUUUUUUUUUUUUUUAGAUGGACCACCCUGUGUGCACUCUAUCUAAGUGACAAUGGUUUUGAAAUCCUGCCACCAGAUAUUAGGAAGCUCACAAAGUUGCAGAUACUCAGCAAUACGGAUAAAGACCUGAUCUCACUGCUUAAGGAAAUUGAGGAGCUUACCCAGCUUAAAGAGCUCCAUAUUCAGAGGAACUGCCUCACUGUUCUACCCCCAGAACUGGGCAAUGAUGGGACCUCUUCUCCUGCAUUUGUUACCCAGAUAAUUUUGCCUUUGGAGAAGAGAAGAAAAUCACAUUGGUCUGCUCGGAAUGCAACAAAACAAAGUAUUAUUGACACCAAAACCUUAUUUGCACCAAUCCAAACAGCCUAUGGGACAUAUGUCUGCAAUGCUGCACACACCUGGGGCUAGCCAGCUUAGUGCCCUACGAUAUGUGCCAAUAAUCGAUAGCAUUUUUUACUACAGUAAUUAUGAGAAGCAUAGUAUUUUCUAGCAUACUUGUGAAGAGUGGAAACAAAUAUUAAUCCCCUUCAGAGAGUAAAGGACAUUAUGAAUUGAGAAUUUCCUCCCAAUUUAUUCUCCAGAAUGAACAGAAUUAACAGUGAGUGGAUGUACGUCCAAAAUUUCUUCUGUUAUAUCUCUUAAUCCUUUUCCUGCAGACAUCGAGAAACUAAAGAAAAAUAACUUCUUUACUGAGGCAGGCAAGAAGGAAAUCCAGUAUUCUUUGUUUGAUCAAUUAAGUCUCUGAUUGUAAGUGUCUCAUUUAUUUUCUCUUUUGUUAUUGUCACUCUGUCAACUGGCUCCCAAUUAUUUUAUCCAGAGGUUUAAAACUUUUUUUAAAUGUAAACAGCAGAGAAUAGAGGUUAAGUGCUGCACUCUUCGUCACUAGGCUUGGGUUCAAACCUCACUCUCCCACUCCCUUGUUCUGUGACCUUCAGAUAUUGAUACGGUUUGAAAGGAAAGGAAAGGAAAAAACAGAUCAAAAUGUUUCAAUAAUCAUGAACGUAUAUGUAUCUGAUAAUGUACCCUUUAUUUAUGCUCAAUGAGAUUUAACAUGUUCAUCUCAGAAAGGGAUAGAUCAAGCUGCAAAAAGUUUGCAUACAUAGAAGAUCUAAAUAGCAUGACUAAUAAGUUUAAAAUAUUAAUGUAGAAUCAUAAAAAUAUAAUUUUUUCAAGCACACAUGUAAUAUUUGUAAAAAUUGACCAGGUACAAAUCACACAGUAAUUCUCAAUAAAUUUUAGAAAAAGGAA